GGCAUUUGGAUCAGCCCAAAUGACGUUGUCUUCCAGAUCAACUGAUCAACCAAACACCAACAGCGCUUGUGCCCCCAGAUCGCCGGAGAGUUCAACGCCGCCGCGACCGGCGAGGCGGAGCUUGAUGGGCGCCGUGUGGGGGUUCCAUACCGCGCGGCUCCGGGAGGAGAGUCCCCUCACGCUGAUGAUGCUGGAGUGGAAGGAUUCGAGAUCGAUGGGCGGGUGAUGGCUUCGCGGAGCUCGUCGGCGGCGUAGUGGCGCACGAUGAGGGGUCUGUGAGCAGCCGCGACGAACUGGCUCGCAGCAGCUAACACUUGAUCCACUGGGCCGUCAUGCCUGAAUCGGCCCAAAGGAGGGAGCCAGCAGAUGAUCAGGUACAGCGCGGGACACGACAGCGUUGGUGUCGUGUGGUCAUGGUCGCCUCCAAACUCCAAAGUCUCCAAGACUCCAACUGUCCAACACCUCAUGCCUGCCGGUACAGUUUUACUCGUCAGCAUCCCCCUUUUUUUUUUUUUGAAACUGUCAGCAUCCUCUCUCCGGAUACUCCGCCACCUGUGUGUAUCUUUUUUCCCUUGGAGAAACCGUUUUGCUGAUACCAGCAACUGCCCGGCCAUACAAUAAUAAUAUCAUGUCCAGAUACUCCUAUACAAUUACAAAAUAGCUUGAGAAUGAAUAGUUCUGCUAUCAAUUAUUCAAAAAUAGAGGGUGUAAUAAACAUAGAGUUGUAUUUA